rnacentral:rRNA from 1 species
ACGAACGCUAGCGGCGUGGAUAAGACAUGCAAGUCGAACGGGAUCAAGUCUGUAGCAAUACAGGCUUGGUCCAGUGGCAAACGGGUGCGUAACACGUGAGUAAUCUGCCGGGAAGUGGGGGAUAGCUCGCCGAAAGGCGAAUUAAUACCGCAUAUGGCCAGAGAGGACAUCCUCUCGAAGCCAAAGUCGCAAGACGCCUCCUGAUGAGCUCGCGGCCUAUCAGCUAGUUGGUGAGGUAACGGCUCACCAAGGCUAUGACGGGUAGCUGGUCUGAGAGGACGACCAGUCACACUGGAACUGAGACACGGUCCAGACACCUACGGGUGGCAGCAGUCGAGAAUUUUUCACAAUGGGGGAAACCCUGAUGGAGCGACGCCGCGUGGAGGACGAAGGUCUUCGGAUUGUAAACUCCUGUCAUGCGGGAACAAGAAAGUGAUAGUACCGCAAGAGGAAGAGACGGCUAACUCUGU